rnacentral:pre_miRNA from 1 species
AAAAGUAUGGUACACUGAUGGGCCUGAAUCGUUGCUCGAACCUGUAUUAAUGACCAGGUGAGCAAACUUUCAGGUGUGUUAGUGCCGACUUGUUGCCGAAG